AUUGAACGCUGCGGCAGGCUUAACACAUGCAAGUCGAGCGAGCGGCGGACGGGUGAGUAAUGCUUAGGAAUCUGCCUAUUAGUGGGGGACAAGAUCACGAAAGGGAUGCUAAUACCGCAUACUAAUAGAUGAGGAUAAGUCGGAUUAGCUAGAUGGUGGGGGAAAGGCCUACCAAGGCGACGAUCUGUAGCGGGUCUGAGAGGAUGAUCCGCCACACUGGGACUUAGGCAAGGCCCAGACUCCUACGUGAAGGCGCAGUUGGGAAUAUUUGACAAUGGGGGGAAACCUGAUCCAGCCAUGCCGCGUGUGUGAAGUAGGCCUUAUGGUUGUAAAGCACUUUAAGCGAGGAGGCGUUACUCGCAGAAUAAGCACCGGCUAACUCUGUGCCAGCAGCCGCGGUAAUAC
rnacentral:rRNA from 1 species